rnacentral:rRNA from 1 species
CCUACGGGAGGCAGCAGUGGGGAAUAUUGCGCAAUGGGCGAAAGCCUGACGCAGCGACGCCGCGUGAGGGAUGAAGGUCUUCGGAUCGUAAACCUCUGUCAGCAGGGAAGAACGGUCACUGUGCUAAUCAGCAGUGAAUUGACGGUACCUGCAAAGGAAGCACCGGCUAACUCCGUGCCAGCAGCCGCGGUAAUACGGAGGGUGCGAGCGUUAAUCGGAAUUACUGGGCGUAAAGCGCUCGUAGGCGGUAUGUCAAGUCAAGGGUGAAAUCCCCGCGCGCAACGUGGGAACUGCCUUUGAAACUGGCAAACUGGAGUGUGUGAGAGGAUAGGGGAAUUCCAGGUGUAGGAGUGAAAUGCGUAGAUAUCUGGAGGAACAUCAGUGGCGAAGGCGACUAUCUGGCACAUAACUGACGCUGAGGAGCGAAAGCGUGGGUAGCAAACAGGAUUAGAUACCCCUGUAGUC